UCCUUUCGGAAUUAGGAUUCAUCUACAGAAUCCUCUAAACCCUAGCUCUAUAAAUACCGGGACGAUAGGCCUCUUACUCUUCCCCAAUACUCGAAACCCUUGGUCCGAAAGAGAAAUCGAAGUGAAGGUUUGAGAGCUCGAAAUCCUUGCAACAAUGAGGGCGAAGUGGAAGAAGAAGCGCAUGAGGAGGCUCAAGAGGAAGCGCCGAAAAAUGAGGCAGAGGUCAAAGUAGACAGGCAAAUGGAAGGACAACCUCUAAGGAUCAACCUCUCUUCAUUGGAUGGCAUGCUGGGAUCUCAGAUCUCAAUCUCCCGGCUUAUGCUGGGAGCUUGUUCAUAUCGAGAUGGUGUUCUUGUGGGGAAAAGCCUUGUCAUUUGUAUUUUUAAGUGCUUGAUUUGCAACUUCAGGGAGUAGUUAAUAUGUUUUGUCUAGCAACAUUAUUUGUUUUGUUUGACUUUUCUAGGGCUGAGUAAGACACCUUUAAUUUUGGAGCUAAUACUAUGAAAAUUUCUCAUAAGAUGCUUAUGUUUGCAGCAGGUCUAAUGUUUACUUACAUUUGUCAUGAGAGACCAGAUACUCCGCAUGGUUUUGUUGAGAAUCUUUCUGCACUGUGUUUCUGAUGGUUGCCACCGGGUUUGUAUGGAUAAUACUCUCGGUUCGUAUCCUAUUAUGUUUCAAUUUCUACUGCUGCAAUUUUUCUUUAGUGUAGAUUUGAGUUGACCUGGCCUGCUGGGCAUGGGUAUUGUUCUUGUUAAGUUAUCGCUUGCCUCAUUGUCUUACGAUAUGCAUCAUUGGGGAAAGGGACUAGCUGGUAUUGAAGAUAAGAACUGGUGGGGAAAGAGGCCGGGUGGUGAUGAAGAUAAAGCGACCAGGUGGUAAUGAACAUCUUUCCUGGGGUUUCAAUUGAGUCUGGGGUGAUCCUCAGCUUUCUCUGAAAAAGAAGAAAUUGGUCCUUCUCGAGGACGAGGAUUAUAAUAAGAUGCUCGAUGCCCAAGUACUGGAGUUGAAUUGAUGGCCGAGCAGAUGCUCUAUGACAUCGGCAUUAGCCCGGUGCUUCCUCAAGAUAUGGUUGAUUCUUUGAUUUAAUAAUUCUCAUCAUUUUAUAUGCAAUAUUCGGUUCUAACUCUUUUUCUUUAGUUUUGCAGCAAUGAGGCCAACUUUGGAGUCAAUCGAGUCGGCCUUGAAGAAGAGGUCGAGCUCGUUCGGGGGAAAUCUACGGUAAGGAAGAAGUCUAAGCUAACGACUAUCUUGGCUCCCACUACAUCAACUUCUCCAACCCCACCAGCUCUUGUCCGAUCAGUUGAGACCUCUAGUGCUGAUCUCAUGGAGGUCGAUGAUGUGCCUGAACAUGUUGAACCUUCAGCAUCAAGUCCUCCUCGAAGGUGUUGAACCUUUCUAGAGGGCAAUUUUUUUCCCUUGAGCUGACUUCCUGGGGUUUUCUAAAAGAAACAUCCGAGAGAUAGAUGGGUCUCAGGGGUACGCCAAUCCAAUGGAAUCAUACCAUCUCCAAUAUCCUUUAGUGGGUGCCAAGGAAGUCUUUUCAAAGUCAAGGAUGCGGCUCCUGCGCCCAAUAUUUUUUUUGUACUUUGAGUCCAUAUGUAGCAUACCUUGACUAUCGAGUCGAUACUUUUGAAUCAUUAAUAAAGAAAGAAUUUUAUAUA